ACAGGAGCGAGUGUGCACACACUGGGCUGUGUUUGCGCUGUCCCACUGCAACACUCUGGACCAUUGAUUAGACAACGCUGAAAGUCAAAUGGGCUGACCACGAAUUAACGAUUAGCAGCAAACCAAGAUAUACUCCAUUCUUUCUGGCUCCUCUUCUUCAUCCCCUAGUUUUUAGAGGCUGGCAAAAAAAGGAGUGGUCUUCAUUUGACAAUAAGCUGAUAACAAAUGGGAUUUACAAAGAGAAGGAAGAUAUGCGGCAAAGGUCCAUAGGCCAGGACUUGAACCCGGGAUCACCGCAUCAAGGACUGAGGCCUCUGAAUGGGUCGAGUCUUCUACCCCAAUGCCUUCUUCCUUGGUUGCCAUCCGCCCAGCCCAGCCCAGCCCAGGUUCCACCUGGGGGGUCCUACAUGUGCUUGGACAAAGCCAUUUCCUGAAGGCUUCAACCCUAUGCUGAGUCUCCUCAGAUGACCCAUCCUCACAACCGAUCCAUCCAUCCCCUUGACCCCUUCCUUCAAUAAACCUUAAACUCAUA